UACAGAGGUCUCAACCGUUGUUCGGAUUCAUUGGGCGUAAAGGGUGCGUAGGCGGCGGGGUAAGUCAGGUGUGAAAUCUCCGGGCUUAACUCGGAACGGUCAAGUGAUACUGUCGGACUAGAGUACAGAAGGGGCAACUGGAAUUCUCGGUGUAGCGGUGAAAUGCGUAGAUAUCGAGAGGAACACCAGUGGCGAAGGCGAGUCUCUAGACAACUCCUGACACUGAGGCACGAAAGCUAGGGGAGCAAACAGG
rnacentral:rRNA from 1 species